GCUCAAGGUGUAGCUUAAUGGUAAAACAUUUGCCUAGCAUGCAUAAGGCCCUAGGUUCCAUCCCAAGCAUAGCA
rnacentral:tRNA from 1 species